rnacentral:sRNA from 1 species
UCUCCGUUGGUGAACCAGCGGAGGGAUCAUUACCGAGUUUACAACUCCCAAACCCAAUGUGAACGUUACCAAACUGUUGCCUCGGCGGGAUCUCUGCCCCGGGUGCGUCGCAGCCCCGGACCAAGGCGCCCGCCGGAGGACCAACCAAAACUCUUAUUGUAUACCCCCUCGCGGGUUUUUUUAUAAUCUGAGCCUUCUCGGCGCCUCUCGUAGGCGUUUCGAAAAUGAAUCAAAACUUUCAACAACGGAUCUCUUGGUUCUGGCAUCGAUGAAGAACGCAGCGAAAUGCGAUAAGUAAUGUGAAUUGCAGAAUUCAGUGAAUCAUCGAAUCUUUGAACGCACAUUGCGCCCGCCAGUAUUCUGGCGGGCAUGCCUGUCCGAGCGUCAUUUCAACCCUCGAACCCCUCCGGGGGGUCGGCGUUGGGGAUCGGCCCUGCCUUGGCGGUGGCCGUCUCCGAAAUACAGUGGCGGUCUCGCCGCAGCCUCUCCUGCGCAGUAGUUUGCACACUCGCAUCGGGAGCGCGGCGCGUCCACAGCCGUUAAACACCCAACUUCUGAAAUGUUGACCUCGGAUCAGGUAGGAAUACCC